UGUUUCUUGAACAGUUGGGCCAGUCUUUUCUGCCAAGCAGAAAGCAGUGAUCGUGCUAAAAGCAGAGGUUAGACCUGGCCAAGCAGAGUCACAGCAUGAUUUGCAUCUCCCGUGGGUGUUCGACAAAGAGAACGGCGAAAUAAUCACUGCUCACUGCGACUGCAAAUCCGGAUGAAGAUUGCUUUGAUUGGCCAGAGUCUCUUUGGACAGGAAGUGUACAAGGAACUGAAGAAGGAUGGCCACAUGAUUGUUGGUGUAUUCACCAUCCCUGACAAAGAUGGAAAAGUGGACCCUCUUGCGACUGAGGCAGAGAAGGAUGGUGUUCCAGUGUUCAAUUUUCCCCGCUGGAGGCUGAAAGGAAAGGCCAUCACAGAAGUGGUGGAUCAGUAUAGGGCUGUCAAAAUGGCUUAAUAUUUAAUAUUUUUUAAAACAAAUGCAUAUAAUUUAAGGCAGCUUGCUAUCAGGUGCUUUGCUGGAUAAAUGUUCUCUUUAGUGCAUCUGAGGCCCAAUGUUUUAUUCACUGACAGAAACCGCAUAAGAUGAGCAAAUGAUAACAGUGUGUAAAUUAUGUAAAAUUCUGUUGUUUUAACAUAAGUUAUGUUUUGCUAUUUUGUGUCCUCUAUGGACUCUGAUUCAUGGUGAUAAAAAGGGUGGGUUUACUAUAUUCUGGGCAGAUGAUGGACUGGACACAGGCCCAAUUCUUUUACAAAGAGAAUGUGAUGUGGAGCCAAACGAAAAUGUAAACAGCAUCUACAAGCGCAUCCUGUUCCCAGAGGGAGUCAUAGUCAUGGUGGAGGCAGUCAAGUUAAUUGCAGCAGGUACAGCUCCGAGAAUAAAGCAACAAGAGGAAGGAGCCACAUAUGAGUGUAUUCAGAAGAAAGAAAAUUCAAAGGACUUGGCACUUGUACACAGUGCCAAAGCUACCAGUACCUGGUUUAAGAACCAUGGUAUCCUUGUUCUUAACUGGCCAGCAAACUCGCCUGACCGUAACCCCAUAGAAAAUGUAUGGGGUAUUGUGAAAGGGAAAACGCGAUUAUGUCAGACCCCACAAUGCAGAAGAGCUGAAGGCCACUAUCAGAGCAGCCUGGGCUCUCAUGACACCUGAGCAGUGCCACAGACUGAUCGACUCCAUGCAACGCCGCAUUGCUGCAGUAAUGCAGUAAAGGUGCCCAUACUAAGUAUUAAGUGCAGUACAUGCUCAUACUUUUCAGUUGGCCACGAUUUCUAAAAAAAACUUUCUUUGUAUUGG